CUGCAUCACAGCUUGCCCUGUUGCACAAGAGGUGUAGACAGUGCUGAAAUGUGCAGGGGAGGUUUUGCAUGCAUAAGCAAAUCUGCAGGCUGCGUGGUGCUUAAUAUUGCUCUGCCCUUGCAGGUCAGUUAUGCAGAGAAUAAACGGCAGCAUUCCUGCAACCGGUCAUGCUGCCUCAUGCCUAACUUCUGCUUCUGGUGCCACACAGAAUGUGAAGUGCUUCUUCUCUCAAGAAUGCCUCGCAAGUGAUACUGUGCUUUUGCAUACAUCACUGGUGAAUUGACAAAUGCAAUUAAUAACAUCAACAGCCAGAGAAAGUCAAGCUGAGACGUUAAAUAACUCACUUUAGCUCUCAGGACCCAAACUAAGAAGACAAUACAUGCAUCCAUUGAGGUACCACACCUUUCUCCUUCUGCACUAACAGCUGGCACACCAGUGCUGCCUGCUGCUGGCCUAUGUUCUAGGCUAUAGGACGUCUGCUAUGGCCACACCAAUUACGUUCAGAUGACCAGAAAGCAAGUCUUCACCCUAAGAAUGGCACUCCAGCAAACACUCAGACACUUCUCUUAAUGCCAUCACAUCCAGACCAAAGAAUGCUGCUGGCGGCUCCUUGAAGAAGGCCUGCAGUUCACAUGUGUUUUCUGUUUGGUGCUGCAGACUUCCCUCCAGCUGAAGGCGACCGGAGGAACCCAGCUGUGACCAAUUAUGGUCAGGGCCGCCCAGGGUUAGGGCUGAGCUGCGGUGCAGGAGGUCAUUUGCUCAUGCUGCCUUGAAGAGACUGUGUUUCUGUGCUCUCUUGUGGCUUUUGCCAGUUCUGAAGGUUUUGAGUCUGCUUCUGUUUUACUCUGUGUUUGUUCUGAUGGUAUUCUGCCAAGUUUUGACUCCCAUAAGAUGCAGUUACUGUGAGGCCUGUGACCUAGCCCAGAAGGUCAACCUGACAUUGCUUCCCUCUGCUUCCCUGACAUACCUCUGGUCAGGGCUGAGUCUGGGUUCAAACUAAUCCCUGCUGAGUGCUGGAGACCUGCUGGAAUCCACAGGAGUAAGUGCAAUGUGUGGUAUUUAUAUCCUGAGUUGGAAGGGAUCCAUCGUGUUCAUCGAGUCCUACUCCUGAAAAGUGUUACCUUCCUCUUUCCAUCACAUUGGUGGUCCUGAGGUCCUGGGCUGAAGACACUGAUUGAGGCCAAAAAUAUUUCAACAUCAAAAGCUCAUCACAAGCAUGGGGUAAUAUCAAAUAAGCUGGACAUGCAUUCUGCGGAUUAUGCUACAUUUAUUAUUUGUAACUAAUGAAUGCGUGACGCUUAAGAAAUAUGAAAGCAAAUCUGCUCUCUUUGUUCAGGGUCUCUUGGUUCACGAGUCGAUCUGAGAGACUGCAACCUGGAAAGGUCACUUUGCAGUCUGUAAGCAGCUUUAAAGCCUUCAUGGGCCUUAAAACAAUGGGCUUAGCCAGUGGAAAAAAAAUCUCCUGGAACACAUAGCUGCCAGCAGAGAGCUGGAAAAUGGCUCUGUGAAGAGUCUGCCAUGUCCUGCUCCUGAUGCAGGUAGAGGAGGGAGAGACGAAGGUUUAGAAGAGCCAGAGCAUUUGUCUGGUUUGUCACUGCUUCAGCUAGUAAUUCUCACUUUUAUGUGUUCCAAGCUUGCUUUCAAAUGACCAAUUGUAGAACUUGAUGCUGUCUUACGGGACAUGAAACAGCUGAACUGACUUAUUCUGCAUCCCUACACAUGUUUUUCAGUAUGCCUCUAUUCCAAACCAAAAUUGAACACAGGUCAUAACAACUUGCGGUCACUGCUCACCUGGUCUGGACUCACGCAGUAGCCUGGAGGUGCAUUGUGUCACUGCUGCAAGUAUUAUUUACUGUUACCUCUACUUGGAAACCAGCUGGUGCUGCGGAGGACAACAACGCACACUCACAGCAAAGAAGAUAUGAUAUUCUCCUGUGGUGAUAUUGAUGACUCUGAUAGAUGGUAAAUAUCUGGUUGGAGAAAACCCCACUGUUAGCCCAGCAGGACUGACCUUAAGCAGCGACGUAUGCUUAUUUAUAUCCUGAUUUCAGCCUGCCAUCAAAGCAAAAGCAAUAAGCGCACUAUACUCAUAGGCUGAGUGCCAGCAUUAAAACUGCAUUUGCAUCACUUUUGUUUGUUUUUAGAAAACUGCUCUCAGGUCUGUUUGCUUGAGUAGCGAAGCAAGGAUUUCAUUUUAUUAGGAGACUCUGAGCCCUGGAGUGGAGUGCCAGUCACUACUCCUUUACUGUUCUUGCAGUCAGAAAACAAUACUGAAAUAUAUCAAAAAUGUCUGGCCUCUCCUGGCUCUCUGAAAACCUCGUCCCCUGCAUUUACUGUGUAUCCCAUGAUCAAGAACAUGUGCCGAGGCUGCACCUCUGGUCCUUGCUGUUCCCUGUAAGUCCUUUUGUAGCUGCUGAUGGUGGAGGUGCUGUCUCAGAUGACUGUUUUCAUGGAGGCCUACAACUGCCUCCUCUGGGUUCAUUAUUGAGAGGUGGCUGACUCCAGGAUGCAUCUGGUUCCAGCCCUUCAUGAGAGGAUGCACUUUGCACUCACAGUAGGUGAAACUCAUGCUGUAAGGUAGUAUUGCUUUUCCGUGUGAUCCAGUAAGUAACUUUAUUUGACUUCUUCAGGCCCCAAGCUUUGCCAAUUUAAACAACUUGUGUUAUUGUUUUCUGAAGGGCAGCAUUUGCAUUUUUGAGGGAACCUAGCAACACUCAAGUGAAAGAAAAGUAAUUAAGAUGUGGUAGACUAUUAGAAAUGCAAGACUGUAUGGUCUAAAGGGAAAACUAAUAUGAGUGUGGCUAAUGACAUCCUUUAGAAACUGAUACUCAAAUAAGAGGACAUAUUAAUGUUAUUUGUACUGAUGAUCUACUGUGAUUGUGCUUGUUAAUUGUUUAAUUUAAACUACUAAAAACAUUUUAGGUAGUUGGUAUUUAAAGAUCCAGAGGAGUAUCCAUUGAAAUGACAGAUAUUUCUUCCUCAUUGGUAGGACAUAUAUGUUUACAUUUCAUGUUGUCAAAAAAGGAAAAUGAAUAUAAAAAGCCUAAAAUGAAAAAUGACUCAGUAGACUUCACAGAGAUGAUAACCAAAGUAAUAUGUGUUGGAAGAAAUAUGGAGGCAAAGCCAAUGAGAAAGAAGCUCAAAUAAAGCAAAUUUCACCCUGGCCCUAUUAGUAUCUGAUACAGUUUAAGGUAGAUUGGCUGGUCCCUACUCAACCACAGCUCUGUAAGAAUCAAAUUAGAUUGUACCAUACCAGAUGCCUGGUUAGCUAAUAUGAUGUUAAGUGGGAUGUAGCUAUGUGUCUGUUGACAAUGAGGUUGUGGCCAGCACCCUCCACCAAAUAGACCUUGGUUUUCCAUAAUUGUUCUAAAGCACAGUAACAUCUGUCUUGGUAGACAAGAUUUAAGAUUUAAGUUUGCACUUCAAGAGGUUGUGUCCUGUGGGGUGAUUUUCAUGACAAAACUACUUCAACAAAAGCCCUAAUGUAGACACAAUUAAACCAGCUAUAAAUGUGUUUUGCUGUUAGGGCCUAUAGACUUUGCCAGCCUGGAUCACGUUUGACAGGCAAAAAGUGCUCUCCUUAUGUGGGAGGAGUUUACAGGUACAGCUACACCAGGAUGACAAAACUUUCAAGUGUAAACAGGAGCUAGGUGGUAAUUUCAGUCAGAAUAUUUUACCAAAGUGUGACUUGUUCACAAAAGGCUCCCCCUCCCCAGCCAUAUAUGAGGCCUGACUCUGCCCUGGCCCAGCAGCUGGAAGGGAGGGAAAGUAAUGCCUGUUCUGUCAUGGGACAGCUACACCAAUGCACUACAAGAAGCUGGUACACUGAAGAGCAGUGCCCUGGCAAGCACAAAACUAUGCAAAAAUUAGUCCUUGCCCUGUGUUUCCUUACAGUUUCCUAUGGCUUCUUCUAACAUUUCUAAGACUGCUGGCAGCCUAGACAGCUUUCACAAUUCACAGGGCAGACAUGUGCAGGAGACUGCAGGCAGAAGGCUGGAUUUAAAGGAUUUACAGCAGCUGGGCAGUAGGACUUACACAGUACUGCCUGUGGUAUUUCUGUCUGUAGUCAUCACUGUUUUAGUGAGCUCUGUGUUCACCUCCCCUCGCAGAAAUACAAUUCAGACAUAGAAACAACAAUUUUUUACUUUUUUUCGGUAUAAAGAAAGCAGGUAUUUGGAUUGAAAUAGGAAAAAGAAAAGAGAAAGAAACCUUUAAGAUAAUGUACCACAAAUAUUUUGGAAAUCCACGUGUUUAUUGAGAUAAAAGAACCAAAUGCAUGAAUGGUUUUACCUGCAAGUAAUCUGGAGUGUGCAAGGAAAAAUCUUUUAAAAAUCUUUGAAGUAAAUGGUCAUGCAAAGACACAGCUUGAGGCAAAAGCUGUUUGAUUAGAGUGGGAAAAGUAUUUGUUCUAAAGAAUUAAACCUAAAAUUCCAGAGUAGAUGAGAGAAACCUGAACUCCUCAAACAUCUGACAGUUUUGAAGAGAAAUCUGCCAGGGUUCAGAGAUAUGUCUGCAUGAGGCAAUGCUGAGGUCAGAGCCAGACUGCUGCCUCAUGCAGCUCCUGCGGAGGCACUGAGAGGCUGAAAAGUAGGUCCUGCCCACGUAGGGUGAUGCAAAGCACCAGACAGACGUGCAGACACCCUGUAGGAUCAGUUAGAGGAAAAAGCAACUACAGGGUGAACAAAAACCCCACAUGCUAGACAGAAGACUGCCUUGAAUAGGCCUAUAGGUAGUGUUAUGCAGUGAGGUACCAAGAGCAAUUUAGGACAGGACCUCUAGGGUCAUCAUGUCCAUACCCCAACCCUAAACAAGGCUAGCUCCAGUGGGUACUGGGACCUCAUUGCAGUCUUGCCCUGCUCAGGAGGCCAGCAGUCCCUCUCCUUAGCUAAGCAUUUAGCAGGAGGAUUGUUUUAAAAGAAAAAAAUAUACCAGCUAAAGUGUGCACCUAGGAAAUGGGGUUUGGGAUCUGGAUGUGUGACACUGCUCAGAGCAUGCUGUAAUCCAUGACCUGUGGUGUAGUCUGAGAAAGAGGGGAAUGCUUCCUCCUUGCACUAAAGCUGGCAUGUAUGAAGCUGGGCUUGGAGUCAUGGGGUGAGAAGAGAGGUAUGGUCAAGGAGCCCUGCACUGGGACACCAGUGUGUUUGUCCAUGCUCUCAUAGCUUCUAAGAGAUUUUAGAUGAGAGCACAUUCUUUAUGUAGGACACAGUAAUAAUCCUGGUAGCAGGGACAAGUAAUACCAACAAACGAAUGAUAAGUUAUUGGAUCCUCGUGAAAUGGAGACAUGAGGUACCAUUACCAUCCAUGCUAACUGUGAGCACAUGGAGAACUUAACACAUUUGAGAUUUAGCAGCCAAAGGCUUUACUCAGUGGCUGAUAGGAUGGCUGUGAUCAUGGGUGUCAUAGUUCAGGAAUUUAGCAUUGCUAGAAGAAUGUGUUUAGUGAGAAUGAGGCACCUGUGUAUUUUUUGAGAUAUGACUAUUAGUAUAUAUGUGCUACAGUGACUGUUUUGCAUGACAAAAGGUUUUACUGGAUAGACUCCAAUCUCCCAGAUGAAUUAAAAGAAAAAUCUUCACUGCACUGUAAUCUGAAAAAUUAUUAUUUGUUGUUGUUGUACUAGGUACAAUGCAAUCAGGCAUUAGUAGUGUAAUCUUUUGAUUCUGAUUGUUUUCACUAAAAUCCAUGUACUGCAACAAGCUUUGCUGUGUGAGACUCAUGACUAAGCUUUGAAUAAUUUGGAUUCUAGUCUAAUUUUUAAUAGCAUUUUCCAGUUUAGUGCUUUCUCUCUUCUCUGUUAUGGUUGCCAUUAUAAAUUUGUAAGACGAUUUCCCAGGAAGAGGAUUUCUUACUGCCCAGACCUUUCUUAUGGAGACACUCAGCAAUAUUAGCAAAUGUUUUUUGAAUUGGUCUCAUGACACAGUUAUACAGCAGACCAAGCAUACUGCAUUUCCCUUCAUUAAUAAGUUCACUAGUAUUACUGAAAUUUAUUUUAUUGAAUUUAUAAAUUCCUUUUACUGAAUGUAUGCAUGACAGGACAUUGUCAAAACCUGUAUCUUUCCUCAGGGCUGGUCACGGCAAAAUGUUUUGAUCUUACAGCCCAGCUUCUGUUUAGCAUGUGAUUUCCUAGCUCCGUGUUUUGAAAGGGCUUGCCACAAGUGGAAGUGUGAUUACUUAGGAUUAUGUAGAGUGAGCUAAUCAUCUAAGGCAGGUAUCAAACAGUAAAAAAAAUUAUGUAGUUGAUGACUGAGAAUCCAUCUUUACUGCCUCACUCAAUGACCCACCACUUCUGCUAAUUCCUGAAUCCCUCUGCAGGGACAGAGGGCCAACGCCUGCACCGCUUGUGUGCAAAAUGCAGCUUUGCCCUUUUACUUCUGCCCCUGUGAAAGUCUUGGAAGUGUUUAUAGGAAAAUAUUUUCUAGUUAAGAAAGAGCCUCAGAAGCUCAUCUGAAAUUGCCUGGAUGUUCUAAACUUAUGAGCAUCAUCCCACCAGAGAUGUGUUCUUGAAUGUUAAAUUUAGGCUAAUUGGAGGCAUAUCCUUUAAUAUAGCAAGCUGAGGUUACUAAUACAGAUCAAGAGCUAAAAAUUAACAGUGGAGAUGAUGUAUGCUAAAUGCCUAAGUGAUAUCUUAACCUAUAAUUAUACAAGUUCUGUUAAUAGUGAAUAAUUCAGAUCUUCAGGGAUUUCAGUAGUCUAAUGGGCUGUAGUUAUUUCCAAUUUACAUUACGGUUGCUAGGUUUCAUUAAAAUAGGAAGAAGUCCAUAGAGUGCAGUAGAAGAAAAUUGGUGUUUGAAGUUAUCACCCAGGAAUCAAAAUAUGAAAUUUAAAUUAGAAGGUGUCCAGGAAACACAAUGGCACCAAAUCUGAGCACUGAUGAUGAACGUGAGUGGUGUGGGAAGAGAGUGUGUUUGCAGAGGGCACUGAGGAGACACAUCAUUGGGAGCAACAUGCUCUGUAACAGCCAUACCUUAGAUGCUGCAUCGGUACAGUGUGUAAAGAGUUCAAAACAUGUUACAAACCCCAAUUAAGCUUUGCUACAUCCUUCUGAAGUAUUUAAAUUUUGUUAUCAGUGCUUUGCAGAUGGCAGGCAGAGGUACGAUAAGGCCUGUGGCUUAUCAGAGCGGUGCAGUGACUCAGUCGGGUGGCACAGGGCUACAGCCUUCUGCUAGGCCACGGCCGGGGGCAAUUUCACCACAGCAGUGCUCGGGGCUGCUUGUCACCCUCUCCUGCUCGCCACUGCCCCUUUCAUCCUCACAUCACCAUCCUCAGUCUUCUCUGCUGGGCUGGGUCGCAUGGUGUUGAGUGUGCCAUGCUUCAAGUCACUGAAUGCAACGUGGGUUAAUGUUCAUGUCUUCUGGAUCUCUCCCAGAUCCUGCUCUUUCGAGCCUUACUGUACAUAGACAAAUUAUUUUCGGAACAUCUAGGACAAAUUAGCUUACCUGAUAGAUACUAAAAAUACCACACAAAUGAGAUCAUGGGAAUGACCAGCGAGUGUCACAGUUUGGUAGAAGUCAAGUUAGCUGACACAUUUUGAUACUGAAGUUUGACUUCACAUUUCUUGUAAAUUCUUCUGAAGUACAUUUUAAAUAUAAAGAGUAUCUGCUUCUUAUGAGCGGAUUAGCAACUAAAAUAAAUGUUCUUUUGGCCUAAAGAUUAGCUAUUUCACCACUGUUUCGUUAGUGAUUCAUGUUACCUAAACUCAGCCUCAAGUUCCUCAUGUAUAUAUCAUUACUUUUUGUAUCUAAAUUAAAAAUCUGCAUUUCUUUAAAAACACAGAAAACACUGCUUGCUUUGAGUCGGGUUUGUUUGUUUGUUUGUUUUUAAUAUCUUGAAGCUCUUUAGCUUCCUCUCUAGUGAAUGAGCCACAGGACGAUGAGUUACAACUAAAGAGCUCUUCCUUUAUAAAAUAGGUCUCCACAACAGCUCCUUUUCCCCCUGAAUCCAAGAAACCUAUUGCUUCUCACACUGAAAUACCUGUAACCAUAUUGCUAAAUAUCUCUAAUUUACAUAAGAUGUAACAGCAGAACUCCACUUAUGCUGUGUUAGUUAAGUUACUAUUAUUAUGCAAUUACAUAAUGGAGAAAUAGCAAAUUCAAACUCUUAAAAUGCUGAUCAUGAAGUAUAUAAAAUUAUAGCAUUGCCUCAACUGUAGGGCAGGUGUGGCACGCCCUCAGUCCUGAAGUGGAUGGGAUAAAGCAGAGCACAACGUGGCUUCUCUCCUGGAAACCAACACCCAAAGAUGCAUUUUAGACCUUAAAGAGCUACACUACCAGUGCCUCUGAUGUCUGAAGCCUCUGAGACUUGCUGCUAAAGCCCUGAUUAACCCCGAGACAAUCACAUUAGUCUCCUAGUUGCCCAACAAAAUGGUAUUGAGAUUAUAGAGUUUAAUUAUUUACUGUUUGGAAAACACUUUCAGACUGGUAAAGAAGAGAUGUCUUGUUAGUACAGAGUUAUGUUAAGCAAUAAUCCCAAUCAAUAAAAAUCACCAAAUAAUUAAGUAUGUUCAGACACUUAACACCCCUUGCAACUGCCAUUAGCAGCAGGUUGGAGGGCUGCUGGCAUAUUGCUUUAGCAUAUUAUAAAUUCCCCAUAGAGCACUCAGAUGUCCCAGUGAUGGCUAUGCAUGCUGCAUACACCACAGUCUCAUCUCUGUGCUAUUAAUUGUAAGGGUUUCACACUGAAAAAUCCUGUCCUGGGAAUACGGAUGAGAACAGUGCACUAGAGACGUAUUAGCAAGAGAAGAGAAAUGUGGAUGGUCAGAGCACACAGGAGGCCAAACCAUGACUCACUGCAUAACCCGAAGGAGCUCAUUUACCUUCUCUACUUCAGUGUAACCCUCUGUGAGGAACGUAUAAAGAAAUUUAAUUGCUUUGCGGACUGUUAUGUAGUCUGAUUAAUAAUAUUUAGAAAGCCCUUUGAGAUCUCUAGAUAAACACUGUUGGGUUUUUUUUGCAAGGAUAUUCUUACUGCAUUCAUAGCUUUCAUUUCUUGAGUUCGGCCCCAGAGUUUAGAGGAGUCUUUCUAAUGCUCUGUGUACAUUUUAUUUCUGUGAAACUCUGGCUGCUAGUGUCAAAUGCCAGCAUAUUCACGGGGCACAAACCAUCUGCUUUUCCUGAAACGAAAUAGUUCUGUGUUUACUUAGGAAAAUGGAUGCAGGCAUUUUCAGUUCUCACAGCUGUUCCUCCCUGGGAAACAGGAGGGUAGGAACAUUUUUUUUCCUCCAAAGCAAAGGAAUAGUAAGCUCCAUUGACAUUCUACAAACCGAGAUCUGCAGAUCUUGCAGGCACAAAUGACUUGCCUUGUUUUGUUUCAAAGUCCUUCCUUCCCCGUUCCUUGCUUAGGGAAUAAUGCCACAGCAGGUGCUGCGAAUUUCUGAUAGUUUGUGGGCAGUAGGGCAGGCUACCAGGGGAACUGAGAUUGUAUCAUAUGCUAAUAAAAAAAAAUAAUAAAAAGCACUCCUCCCACUUUUAAAUAGUUCUGACACUGAGAGAUGAAGUCAUCUGUGACAUGCCACACUGUAUGUAUCUUACCUUAUGGUUUUGCAUGAGGCUCCUGGAAGGCUCUCCUUCAUGCCUUCAAGGCAAUUCUUAUCUUGCCAAGUCUCCACACUAUCUUGGAGCUACUGGGAUAGGGCGGGGG